rnacentral:rRNA from 1 species
UACGUAGGGUCCGAGCGUUGUCCGGAAUUAUUGGGCGUAAAGGGCGCGUAGGCGGGAUGGCAAGUCGGUCGUGGAAUCCCUCGGCUCAACCGAGGAACGUCGAUCGAUACUGCUGUUCUUGAGGAUUGCAGAGGAGACUGGAAUUCCCGGUGUAGCGGUGAAAUGUGUAGAGAUCGGGAGGAACACCGGUGGCGAAGGCGGGUCUCUGGGCAAUUCCUGACGCUGAGGCGCGAAAGCGUGGGGAGCAAACGGG